AGACAAAUCAAGCUUCAUGGAGUAAAGUGAGAUUAAAGGGCCAUUUCAGGGUCAAAUAGAAAAAUUAGCCUUUUUAUUUUGUAGUUAUUUGCAAACAAAAGUUUUUCUUGCAAAUCCUUUCCUUCCUUAAAAAUUUAAAAUGACAAUUGAAGUAUUCCCCCCUCAACUCAAUCUCUUCAGAUUCCGCGCGCUGAGAAAACGUCAUCUCCUCCCCGAAGCCACUACGCAGACGGCAGCUCUCGAAGCACAUACGGCCACAUCACAAUUCACAGGAAGCCACUUCAAAUUCUGCUGCAGGGUUUUAACCUCGCCUAUUCCGUGUAUCGAAAAUCAGAAAUCUUUUGUGUGUGCAAUUGCGAUGGGGACGAAGGAAUUGGACAUGAAGAAAGCCCUUAAGUUGGCCAUACGUUCUCUGCUCACUUCCUGUUUUAAGCAGGCCUCUUUUUCUCUUUACAAUUUCAUCUUCUUUACAAUGAUUUAUGCUGCGUUGCGUCUGCGAUUUUCAUUUUAAUUCUGUGCUUCUUUUGAGUUUAUGCAUUUCAUCCUCGCGAAUUUGUAAUUUGUCUGGCUUUGUUUUGUAUGAUGAAUUUAACACUUAAAGAAUUCUACCAAGCAUUUCCGAAUUUUACAAUCGCCGAGCAAGAACGCCUUCAUAGGCUUUUUAUUCAGGUCAUCGCUUCUUUGCACGGAGAUUUAGAGGUAUUUCUUUUCCUGCCAAUUUCCACUACUAACGAUGGAUUCUUUUCUUUGUUUCUUAAAUGGUCUUACCUGACGAUUUAAUGAUAUGGUUGAAUGGCCUGCAUAGAGGGAUCUCAAUCUCAUCAGGACUGUAAUUGUUUUUGUGAAAGUAUAGUAUAGGGGACUUACUUCCUGUGCAUUAGUCACGAUUCAUGAUCUGGUUCAACGAGAAAUAGUUUCUGCACUUGGCUGAUCUGAUUCAUGACCAAAGUGACCACAAGCACCGUUUCUCUGUUUCACUCAAAACAGCUGAUAAACAGAAAUUGUUUUGGGGAAAGUAUAAUUUUUUUUUUUUUGACAAGUUGCAUCUUGUUAAUUGAUAGGAUUUUUACCACCUGCACAAAAAGAGUUUAAAAUACAUAAAAUACUUACAAAAGAAACAAGGUUAUUGUAGUGUAGUUGGCUCAAGUAAGAUCGUUUUCCACAGGGAUUAAUUUAAAUAGAUUAACGUGAAAUCAAUUCCCAACAAAUUAAUUUGACCAAAGUUUUGGAGAAUGGUGACUUGAUGACCUAAAUUAAGACAAACGAAUUUAAUUAAAAAGGUUAACUAAAAUCUGCAAUUUUAAAGAAGGGAAAAGGAAACAAUUUUUAGAAUUCAAGUUGAGAAAGUACUAGGGUUCCACCAUCACCCUAACAAUCUUAUGUAGCUGUUCUAAUUAAUUAUGAAUUACACAUGCAUAUUUUGAAGGUUAGGUUUUCCUAAAAUAUAUCCUACUUGAA